GACUCACGCACAGACCCCACCACCUCCUUCUUCCACCUCCGCUCGGUCUCCCUCCCCAUCAUGACAGUACCUCAACGACCAAAACAAAUCCAUGAUCCGCGCAAUCCUGAACCCCCUCGACCGAAUCCGUUGAAACAGAUCGAAUCCCCUGUCUCCCCUCGAUUGAUUCCCAUCCUCACCUCGCGGAACUGAGCUCCUCGACUCGCUGGAUCUCCGCUGCACGAAGCUCCUCCGACGACGAACUGCAGAGCGGCCAGAACCACUGCUUCGAGCGCCCCACAUCCUCCCGAAGUUCGCCGGCAACUGCCAUCGUUCCAGCCGCACCGCCUUGUCGCCAAAGGUCGCCCACGUUGUAACCGAGGAGGUUUUCGAGUUGGCCAUGAAGCCCCGCACGCCGUCCCAUGCUUCCCGAGCUUCGGGAGCCACCUUUGUGAGCUCUUGAACGGAGCCGAGCCGCCCCGCCACCGCGCCAUGGUCACCGGAGUGCAUUCCGAUUUCUCGGAGCGUGACGAGUAGAGUUAUCAGGAUGAUGAGUGCGACGAUCUUCAUCAAAUAUACUAGGCAAGUUACACCUUGGUCAUCCUUCAUCCUAUUAUUUUUCAUGCAUGUAGUUCUAUAUCACAAUACCAUAUUAUGCAUGUGUAGGAAUAUUAUGGCAGUAUGCUAUUGCUAUUGAGAUGUAGUUAGUAUGGCCUUAUUGUAGAUCGUGAUAGUGUAUGCUUGCUAUGCUAGGUAAACGGGUAUUGGUUCGUGCAUGCAUUGAGAAUAUGUGAGGACUAUAUAUAAUAUAACUUGAGUAAAAACAUAAUAUAUAAUUCACCUCUGGGCGGAAGUGGUAUUGUUUGGUGUUGAGGGAAGGCAUCAUGGGGUCUUGCACUUUUUCCAAGGCCAUGCGCCCAUGAGAGUGCACCCUAAGUGGAAAGCCACUCAGGUUCCAUGUGCGACCACUGGCUAUAUGGGCUCUGGCUUAGUUGAUCAGUUGUUGGAACCCUUGCCCAGACAGUGUCAACAGAUGUAGCAUAUAUAUAGGUGGGAUGUGGCCGUUAGGUGUUAAGGGAACCUCUUCUGAAAGACUUCGUCUCAAUCUUCGGAUUGGUUCCAGUGGUUAAAGCGUAAAAAACUCUGCAGAGUAUUAAAACUAAUCAUGAUUAACCGUGUCCCCGAUUAUGGACAAAUUUGAGCAGCUAGACCAUGAUAGUUGUUGAAUGAUCUUAACGGAUGAUAUCUUAAUAAAAAUUGAGUGGGAAAUUUAAUAAUAUGGAUAGGUUGGUAUUGGAUUGCCCAACUCAACCAUAUGUAUUUAAUUGUAGCAAGACGAAAAUAAAAUUUAACGAUUACAUUAUGUAGUUAUGUCACAUCCCUAGAAUUUGCUUGUCAUUAGUUGCAUUAAAGCAUCCAUGCAUCAUGUUAAUUCUCAAUUAAAGUUGAAAUGGGGAUGACAAACCCUAGCACCAAAUUAAAUCAAAUAGGGUCAACCAUAAAUAUUUUCAAUGAACCCAGAAUGCUCUUUAGAAAAGUUCAUCAUUUUUGGAUUGGUUGAAAACCUCUGUCAAAAAUGGUGCACAUUUUUCUAGGUAAUCCUGGAUUUUUGAAUUAAAUCGUAUGUAUUUGAAUCGGGGCACUUAAAUUCUAUAAAUAAUUUUAAAUGCUCCAACAUAUUCUGAAAAUAGCUAAGGGCCUUUGUAAUAAUUCAGUUAAUGCCCAAAAUUAUUUUCAGGAUUUAUAAAAUGAUUUGGUUUAUAAACUAAAUCAAAAUAGAGGAGAAAAAUAGCAAAAUAGAAAGAAAAUUAGAAAGGACACAGAGAGAGAGAGAGUUUACCUGUGCAGCCCACCUGCCGGCCCAGCUUGCCGGGCCAGCCCACCCGGUGCCUCCUGUCGUCUUCCUCCUGCCAGUAGGAGCAGCUGUGUGCUCGCACGCGCGCGGCCGAGGAGGCCAGCUCCUCCCUGCCUGCCUGCCCCUCCCCGACGCGUCUGGACGACGCCACGCAACCCCUCUGGCCCUCUCUCACUCUCCCCGUGCUCCUCCUCCCCUUUGUCUCUCUCUCACGCGCACACCCGAGCGUUGCCGUCGCCGCCGAUCGCCGUAGCCGUGGCCACCGGCCACCGCACCACCUGCCGACAUGCCCAUCAACUCCGCCGCGACGCCUAGCGCCUCCAAGCAGAAGAACGCAAGCCCGGACGGCCUUCUUCCCCGCCAACGCCGCCAUCCUCGACCUCGGGUGCCGGUGAUCUGCGCCGUCGAUUCGCCGGACCCCGUGCCUCCCUUGCCUUGCGAGCAGCACCAGCAGACCCGCGGUGAGCCGCUGCUUCUUUUCCCCCUACUCCCAUGUUCGCCCGCGUCCUCUAUGCCGUAGUUGCACGGACGCAGAAGCUCCCGCCGCCAUGUCUCAUCGCCGCCGCACCAACAGCAACCGCAGCUUGUGUCUGAGCACCGUCGCGCGCUCAGCAUUCUCCCAGGAGCCGAGUGCAGCCACCUGUUCGCCCUGCCGUGCACAAUGGCGCCGAACCCGACCUUGCCGAGCUCCGGCCGCCGCAAAGCUCGACGCCGUCGGCGCUGUAGACCACCUCAUCCACUGCUGCUUGCUCUGUUGGAUGCGGAUGAGCACCAGCUCCAUGCAGAGCCCCUCCGCCACUCGUUUGGUCGCCGGAGGAGCAAACCCGACGCCUGCGCCGUGGCCUGUGGCCGCCGGCGAUUAGCCGCCGGCUAACCAUGCCAUUAGGGCUUAAUUACCUUGUUUAGUUAACCCCCAGACACUGAAAGCCGGACCUCAUAGGUUCAAUUAACCGGCUAACCAAAUUAGUUAGAUUUAAUCUAAUCCAGUGGACCCACGCGUCAGCAUUGACUUUGCUAACGUGGCGUUUGACCGGUCCCACCUGUCUGCGACCCUAACCAGCCCUGAGUCACUGACCAGCGGGCCCCACUGGUCAGGUUUGACCUGGACCGGCCCCUAUUGACUUGAUGACGUCACACUGACGUCAUGCUGACGCAGUAAACUAUUUCUGGAAUUUAAAUAAAUCUAAAUGAUUUA